AGAGUUUGAUCCUGGCUCAGGAUGAACGCUAGCGGCAGGCUUAACACAUGCAAGUCGAGGAGCAGCGGGGAGGAAGCUUGCUUUCUCCGCCGGCGACCGGCGCACGGGUGAGUAACACGUAUGCAACCUGCCCCUGUCAGGGGGACAACCCGCCGAAAGGCGGGCUAAACCCGCGUACAUGCCACCGGGGCAUCCCGGAGGCAGGAAAGGCUUCGGCCGGACAGGGAUGGGCAUGCGGCGCAUUAGGCAGUAGGCGGGGUAACGGCCCACCUAACCGACGAUGCGUAGGGGUUCUGAGAGGAAGGUCCCCCACACUGGUACUGAGACACGGACCAGACUCCUACGGGAGGCAGCAGUGAGGAAUAUUGGUCAAUGGUCGGGAGACUGAACCAGCCAAGCCGCGUGAGGGAGGAAGGUACAGAGUAUCGUAAACCUCUUUUGUCAGGGAACAAAGGCGGGGACGUGUCCCCGGAUGAGUGUACCUGAAGAAAAAGCAUCGGCUAACUCCGUGCCAGCAGCCGCGGUAAUACGGAGGAUGCGAGCGUUAUCCGGAUUUAUUGGGUUUAAAGGGUGCGCAGGCGGUCUGUUAAGUCAGCGGUCAAAGCCCGGGGCUCAACCCCGGCCCGCCGUUGAAACUGGCAGUCUCGAGUUGGAGAGAAGUAUGCGGAAUGCGCGGUGUAGCGGUGAAAUGCAUAGAUAUCGCGCAGAACUCCGAUUGCGAAGGCAGCAUGCCGGCUCCACACUGACGCUGAGGCACGAAAGCGUGGGUAUCGAACAGGAUUAGAUACCCUGGUAGUCCACGCAGUAAACGAUGAAUGCUGGGCUGUCCGGGGGGAUUGACCCCUGGGGGGGGAAGGGAAAGCGAAAAGCAUUCCACUGGGGGAGUACGCCGGCAACGGUGAAACUCAAAAGGAAUUGACGGGGGCCCGCACAAGCGGAGGAACAUGUGGUUUAAUUCGAUGAUACGCGAGGAACCUUACCCGGGCUCAAACGGGGAGUGACUCAGGCAGAGACGCCUGUUUCCCACGGGACACUCCCCGAGGUGCUGCAUGGUUGUCGUCAGCUCGUGCCGUGAGGUGUCGGCUUAAGUGCCAUAACGAGCGCAACCCCCGCGUGCAGUUGCUAACAGAUAACGCUGAGGACUCUGCACGGACUGCCGGCGCAAGCCGCGAGGAAGGCGGGGAUGACGUCAAAUCAGCACGGCCCUUACGUCCGGGGCGACACACGUGUUACAAUGGGUGGUACAGCGGGAAGCCAGGCGGCGACGCCGAGCGGAACCCGAAAUCCACUCUCAGUUCGGAUCGGAGUCUG
rnacentral:rRNA from 1 species